rnacentral:ncRNA from 2 species
GUAUGAAACUAGGGGUGCCCAUGCAAAUUGGGCUGAGAGAGAAGUGUAAUAACUUCUUAACCCUUUGGACCUGAUCUGGCUCGUACCAGCGUGGGGAAGUUAACGGCUUUACAU